CCAGGAACAUUCCCUUUAUUCAACAUGCUGGACCUGGAUUACUGGAUGGUUUAUGGGUUGAUUCUAACCAUUACAACACGUGUUGACUGUGAAGAACUGAGUCCAGUCAAGAAUGAAGAGUCCAGUUUAGAAGGAAACUCUGUUACUCUCACAUAUAAAUACUCGAAAACAGUGGCACCAGGUGAUGAGUUCUACUGGUAUCGACAAUAUCCAGGAAAACCACCUGAGUUUCUAAUCUUUCACCUUGGAACAAAAAAUGCAUCAAACCAUAGACUGUUUGUGGAAGCACAUGGAGAAAAGGUCCAAGUGCAGAUCUCCUCUGCUGCAGUGUCAGACUCUGCUGUGUACUACUGUGCUGUGAGGCCCACAGUGACAGGAAACAGCAAAACUCUGAACAAAAACCUCUGGAGCAAAGACAACACAGUACUACACAACAUCCACUAGAGGGACUCACACACUGAUCCAACCAUGACACACAGGUUCUGGGUUGUUCUGUGCAGAUGUCAGUAUCACUGUUGUCUCUCAUGUGUCUGUAAAGGCUGCUCUGUCAAACAGUCGGCUUGGAUUC